rnacentral:rRNA from 1 species
CGGAGGGGGCUAGCGUUGUUCGGAAUUACUGGGCGUAAAGCGCACGUAGGCGGCUUUGUAAGUUAGAGGUGAAAGCCCGGGGCUCAACUCCGGAAUUGCCUUUAAGACUGCAUCGCUAGAAUUGUGGAGAGGUAAGUGGAAUUCCGAGUGUAGAGGUGAAAUUCGUAGAUAUUCGGAAGAACACCAGUGGCGAAGGCGACUUACUGGACACAUAUUGACGCUGAGGUGCGAAAGCGUGGGGAGCAAACAGG